AUGCUCCCGAUGUCCGUCCACCCCGCUACUACGCCGGCCCUCGCGUCGCGGCCCCGCGUCUCCCUGCCCAGACCUUCCACAUCCCCUUCCUCCUCCUCCUCCUCCUCCUCUUCCAGCCUCGUCCACUUCAAGAGCAGGAGGCUUCCCCUUCGCUCGCUCCGCAUCCUCGCCGCCGGCGCCGCCGGCGCCGUCGAAGCGGGGGAGCCAUACGUCGGUUUGGGGGACGAGGAGCCACUUGGCGGAGAAGGAGAUGCGGAAUCCGUGGCGGAAAGCGAGGAGUACAAGGUGGAGGUGCCUGAAAAGCAGGACCCAAUGCUGGUACUAAAGUUCAUAUGGAUGGAGAAGAACAUCGGCAUAGCGCUUGACCAGAUGGUUCCGGGUGUUGGUAGCAUCCCCUUAAGCCCGUACUACUUCUGGCCACGGAAAGAUGCAUGGGAGGAACUGAGAGCGAAGCUGGAGGAGAAAGAGUGGAUCUCGCAGAAGCAGAUGAUCAUCCUUCUCAACCAGGCCACUGACAUCAUCAACCUCUGGCAGCAAGGCGGCGGCAGCUUAUCGACAUGA
rnacentral:rRNA from 1 species